AGGAUGAACGCUGGCGGCGUGCCUUAUACAUGCAAGUCAAGGGGGUGUAGCAAUACACCACCGGCAGACGGCUGAGUAACACGUGGGAACGACCUAUAAGUUCGGAAUAACUCUCCGAAAGGAGAGCUAAUACCGGAUGUGAUCGCAAGAUUAAAGUCGCAAGACGCUUAUAGCUUGGCCUGCGCACCAUCAGGUAGUUGGUGAGGUAAUGGCUCACCAAGCCAAAGACGGUUAGAGGGCCCGAGAGGGUGUACCUCCAGACGGGGACUGCGACACGGCCCCGACUCCUACGGGAGGCAGCAGUAGGGAAUAUUGGACAAUGGGCGAAAGCCUGAUCCAGCGACGCCGCGUGUGGGAUGAAGGCCUUCGGGUCGUAAACCACUUUUGUUCGGGACAAUUUUGAGCGUACGAGCGAAUAAGAGGUUGCUAACUCUGUGCCAGCAGCCGC
rnacentral:rRNA from 1 species